UCGCUACUACCGAUUGAAUGAUUUAGUGAAUAUCAGAGACUUGAGUACUUAAUUGGGUUUCCUUUUAAGUAAUCUGGGAACUGACGUAAACUUGACCAUUUAGAGGAAGUAA
rnacentral:rRNA from 1 species